GGCGUCACUAUCAUUGAAGUUACUCAGUGGAAAGUUAACAGAAGUUAAUACAGGAGCUGCUAGAAUGUGGAAAAUGAACUCAGAACCUGUUAAGAUGAACGAGAUGAAGAGUGUGCUGGCUGGUUUAUGUCAACCUAACAAGAGCUAGAGUCAUCAGAGAGGAAGGAGCCUCAGCUGAGACAAUGCCUCCAUGAGAUCCAGCUGCCUCUGCAUCCGACUGGGUAUCCAGGUGUCCUGACUUCUUUGCUGAUGAACAUCGAAGUGGAGUGGAAGCCAAAUAAACCUUUUUCUCCUCAACUUA